GAAGCGAACUACUUGAAGAAACUCUCUAGGCCUAGAGCAUCCAUUCUGGCUGGUGUGAGGAAGAAGCAACUCUUGUUUGGGGUCAGUGGUAGGAGUAGCAGGUUCCUACUCUUGGCUAUGGCAGAAGCUCCCUUACCGCGUCAGUUCUGCAGCAUAAUGACAGGAAUUUGCCACACCUACCUCAGUCUGAAUGGCCCUGGCCUUCACUGGACCCCAAGAGCCUUUAUUUCAGGGCGUUUCACUUGCUUCAGACAUUACCAUGUAAGAAAAUGAUGCUUGAAGCUGUAGACACCUCUCAAUCAUGAAGACAAUAUUAAGAGAAUCAUAGAGAUGCCAGCCCAGUGUUCUAAUGUUGUUGAGUCACUAAACCAACUGGGAACCACGACCCCAUGACUACAUUC
rnacentral:lncRNA from 1 species